rnacentral:rRNA from 1 species
UACGUAGGGUGCAAGCGUUGUCCGGAAUUAUUGGGCGUAAAGAGCUCGUAGGCGGUCUGUCGCGUCGGCUGUGAAAACCCGGGGCUCAACCCCGGGCCUGCAGUCGAUACGGGCAGACUAGAGUGCGGUAGGGGAGACUGGAAUUCCUGGUGUAGCGGUGAAAUGCGCAGAUAUCAGGAGGAACACCGGUGGCGAAGGCGGCUUCCUGGUCUGCGACUGACGCUGUGGCGCGAAAGCUAGGGGAGCAAACGGG